AUUGAACGCUGGCGGCAUGCCUUACACAUGCAAGUCGAACGGUAACGGGCCUUCGGGUGCCGACGAGUGGCGAACGGGUGAGUAAUACAUCGGAACGUGCCCGAUCGUGGGGGAUAACGAGGCGAAAGCUUUGCUAAUACCGCAUACGAUCUACGGAUGAAAGCAGGGGACCGCAAGGCCUUGCGCGGACGGAGCGGCCGAUGGCAGAUUAGGUAGUUGGUGGGAUAAAAGCUUACCAAGCCGACGAUCUGUAGCUGGUCUGAGAGGAUGAUCAGCCACACUGGGACUGAGACACGGCCCAGACUCCUACGGGAGGCAGCAGUGGGGAAUCUUGGACAAUGGGCGCAAGCCUGAUCCAGCCAUGCCGCGUGCAGGAUGAAGGCCUUCGGGUUGUAAACUGCUUUUGUACGGAACGAAAAGCCUUCUUUUAAUACAGGAGGGUCAUGACGGUACCGUAAGAAUAAGCACCGGCUAACUACGUG
rnacentral:rRNA from 1 species